GACCUGAGCGAGGGGAAGGACUCUAGGAGUCCAUCUGAGGCGGGGAGUGUACUCCCUCGACCGUCUGCAUUUCUGAGUUGGUUUUGUCUGUUUGAUGGAAAACAGGCAUCUGUCAGUGUGUAUUUGUUUUUUGUGUUUGUUUUCAGGCAUUUGUCAGUGUGUAUUUGUUUUUUGUGUCUGUUUUCAGGUAUUUGUCAGUGUGUGUAUGUGUGUUUUCUGUGUUUGUUUUGUGUUUUCCGUGGUACUGGAAGGACUGUAACGACCCCCCUAAGUUUGACUUUAGACCACUGGACUGAAGUUAGAUCAAGGGCCCAUAAUCUUUCAGUAGAAAUUAAGAAGGGACCUUGGCAGACUUUCUGCGCCUCCGAGUAGCCGACUUUUAAUGUAAAAUGGUCACUAGAAGGGACUUUUGGUUUACUCUUAUCUUUGAAGUUAAAGCCAUUGUUUUUCAGAGUGGACCUGGGUCCCACCUGGAUCAACAGCCUUACCUCAUUCAGAAUUCACCGCCAUAAAUCAAAUCAUGGGUUCCCCCACGCCUCUCAGAGCCCUCCCCUGGCUGCUCCCAUGCACUCGAGUGGGUCAGCACAGUGCCCUCGCUUUCUGCCCUAAGAAGCAGUCCCUGCACCCAGCUCUGAGAUUGCUAAAGGCACAGUCUGAGGACCAAGGACCUACAGCUGGGACCCGGAGCCGACAAGCCCAGAGUCCCCCAGCAGAUGAAGCUCCUGACACCACUUCUGCCUUUUCCUUUGUGAGCUGUGGGUAACCCGCCCACAGACAGGCAGUCUCUGCAGACCCUUCAAUAUUCGCCUUUCUCAUCGGCUGAUCUGUACAAUUAGAACACUGGGUUCCCUCUGGACCGGCCAG
rnacentral:lncRNA from 1 species